rnacentral:rRNA from 1 species
GUGCCACCGCCGCGGUAAUACGUAUGUCCCGAGCGUUAUCCGGAUUUAUUGGGCGUAAAGCGCACGCAGGCGGUCUGUUAAGUCAGAUGUGAAAUCCCCGGGCUCAACCUGGGAACUGCAUCUGAUACUGGCAGGCUUGAGUCUCGUAGAGGGGGAUAGAAUUCCAGGUGUAGCGGUGAAAUGCGUAGAGAUCUGGAGGAAUACCGGUGGCGAAGGCGGCCCCCUGGACGAAGACUGACGCUCAGGUGCGAAAGCGUGGGGAGCAAACAGGAUUAGAUACCCUGGUAGUCCACGCCGUAAACGAUGUCGACUUGGAGGUUGUGCCCUUGAGGCGUGGCUUCCGGAGCUAACGCGUUAAGUCGACCGCCUGGGGAGUACGGCCGCAAGGUUAAAACUCAAAUGAAUUGACGGGGCCCGCACAAGCGGUGGAGCAUGUGGUUUAAUUCGAUGCAACGCGAAGAACCUUACCUGGUCUUGACAUCCACGGAAGUUUUCAGAGAUGAGAAUGUGCCUUCGGGAACCGUGAGACAGGUGCG